AUGGGGAACUGCCAGGCGGCGGACGCGGCGGCCGUGGUGAUCCAGCACCCGGGCGACGGCAAGGUGGAGCGCCUCCACUGGCCGACCACCGCGGCGGACGUCAUGCGCAGGAACCCCGGCCACUACGUCGCGCUCGUCGUCCUGCAUCACGUCGACGCCGAGCCCGACCCGGCCGUCGCCGGAGAAAGAGGAGGUGCCAGGGUAACCAAGAUCAAGCUCCUCAAGCCAAAAGACACGCUCCUCCUCGGCCAGGUCUACCGCCUCAUCACCUCCCAAGAGGUGACCAAGGCCGUUCAGACGAGGAAGCAGGAGAGGAUGCGCGGUUGCGACGAGGCGAUCGAGCAGGAGUGGCCGCGGCUGCACUGGCGGCGGCAACCGCCGAGGCCGAGGGGCGACAACGCAGCCACAGCAGCAGCCAACGGAGAACAGAGGCAGCCCGCCGAGCACCAGGAACGGAAGCGGCUGGAGAAGGACCGGCACCACCGGAGCAUGGCCGCCGCCCGCGGCAGAGGCCGGCACUGGCGACCGGCGUUGCAGAGCAUUACAGAGUCGUCGUCCAGCGGACACGCCGACUGCGAGGAUAUACUACUAUCCAAAUGA
rnacentral:rRNA from 1 species